rnacentral:rRNA from 1 species
UAGGGAAUCUUCGGCAAUGGACGAAAGUCUGACCGAGCAACGCCGCGUGAGUGAAGAAGGUUUUCGGAUCGUAAAACUCUGUUGUUAGAGAAGAACAAGGACGUUAGUAACUGAACGUCCCCUGACGGUAUCUAACCAGAAAGCCACGGCUAACUACGUGCCAGCAGCCCCGGUAAUACGUAGGUGGCAAGCGUGUUCCGGUUUUAUUGGGCGUAAAGCGAGCGCAGGCGGUUUCUUAAGUCUGUUGUGAAAGCCCCCGGCUCAACCGGGGAGGGUCAUUGGAAACUGGGAGACUUGAGUGCAGAAGAGGAGAGUGGAAUUCCAUGUGUAGCGGUGAAAUGCGUAGAUAUAUGGAGGAACACCAGUGGCGAAGGCGGCUCUCUGGUCUGUAACUGACGCUGAGGCUCGAAAGCGUGGGGAGCAAACAGG